ACCCUUAUCAGUCGUUUUAUCUAGCUGUUUGGAAGCGGGAAAGCGAGCCAUUAGAAUUUAGAAAAUCGAAGAGAGGGAGAAUUAGCGGGAAAAUCAGGGAGGAAGAAACAGAGAUGGAGACGGACUACUCAAGCAGCGACUUGCAGCGCUUACUAGAAGCCAUUAAAUCCUCGGAUGUUGUGGAGAUUCGUGUUCAACUACUUAAUAAGCUCCGGGACUUAGAAAUAUCAGAUCGAUCUGACUUGCAUUUGCUUAUGGAACGCCUCACAACAUAUUGGGAAGACUUCACUUGUUUGGAUGCAUCCCAGUGCCUGUUAAACAAAUCUAUUUUACAUGUUGCUGUAAAACACCUAGAGGCAGAUAUAUCUGGGUGCUUACCACAAUUUCUUUCCCUAGGGACCAAGGCCAGCAUAUGGUGUGGAAAGCAUCUGAAGAUGAUUCUUAUGUCAAAUGAGGGAUCUCAAGAUGAGGAGCAUGAUGACGUAUUUUUUCAGCUGCUUUUGGACUUGUUGAGCUUCUCUGCUGCUAGCUUUUCGGCUUUGGCCACAUACCAUGUUUCAGAUGAUGAACCAUUGAUGGAUAGUGUAGAGAAUUAUAUUUCAGAGCAGUUAAAUUUAACAAAAAACUCUAUAGCAGAGAUUAAGAGAAUUGGGUCGCUUGGCUCAGAAGUAGUAAAGGCUACUCAGAUUGUCAUAGAUGCUGUGAUAAGACUUUGUAGAGUGUAUUCCCUUGCUGUAAAUUGGGAGUUAUGUGAUGGACAUCCUGAGAAAGAUGAAAGCUGCAGGGAUUUUGCGGCAGCCAAUAGUGUGAAUCAUGUUAGUAAAAUAGCAAAAUGUACAAUAGAAAAGCUGUGUGAAUUGGGAAUUCUUGCAGCUAAUGAUGGUGGGAGUUUGGUUACCAUUCUUAAUGUGUCGUGGAAAGGUGUGGUUACCUUGCUUCAACUUGGCAAGGGGGGUUUAUCAGUAAAGGUGAAUGUGGCAGAUAUUAUUCUUUCACUUCUUUCACUCGUUAAUGAGUCUCUGAGAUGUGCAGCUAAAGCUUGGUCCUCUUCCCUGAAGGAAGCCAUUUCUGUAACUGAAGCUAGAAGAAUAUUUGUUCCAGUAAAGUUCUACCUGAUUAAUGCUGUAAAAAUAUCCUUCCUAUAUCCAAGCCAAGCAUACCUGGUAUACAGGGAGAUGACACUCUGCAUCCUGAUGAUCUCAACCUUAAAAACUUCACUGAGUGAUGAAGAACUUACGAAAACUGCUGGUGAAGUAAUAACAGAGCUUCUAGAACAAACAUCCAUGGAUCUUCUCAAGUCUUUGCUAAAUUCUGCUCAAUUGAAACAGGAGCUGAAGUUGAGAAUUCUGGACUGGUUGUUCAUCAAUGAAAGCAACUCAAAUCCUGCCAAUGGAGAUUUAGGUAGUAAUAGUGGAGUAACUUCAAUGGAAGAAAUCUUUUCGGUAGGUUGUGAAGACAUGACUGGGGCAAGAACAUUGUUGCUUGGUCGGGUUGGAGUGUUUCUCAAUUUACUGAAAUAUUCCCUUGAUCUUGGUGAAGAUGUAAAACUUGGAAUGAUCAGUAAGCUUGGAUGGUUUUUUGACAUAUUAGUUGAUGAAGAGGUAUAUUCUUUCGUUCUGGCCCUCCAAAUUCCCGAAUUGUUUGGUUCACAGAACACUGUUGAAAUUGAUUGGCAGCCUAUGUUUUCUUCUCUUUUACAUGCACUGGAAACAUUCAUGAUUGUGAUCUCUUCAAGCCUUGCAUGGGGGGAAUUUGAGUCUUUUUUGUUUGAGAAUUUCUUUCAUCCUCACUUCCUUUGCCAGGAGAUUGUAAUUGAGCUUUGGCAUUUUAUGGUGCGAUAUGCUGAGAUAAGUGUGGUGAACGGUGUUACAGAUAAACUUUCCUCAUUAUUGAGGUUGGUUGCAUCCUCGGAGUCGGUUUUUAUUCCUGGUUCUGCAAUGAGAAAAGUGGCAAGAUCACUUUGCAUGAUACUUAGUUAUGGUACACAAUCUAUGGUAGACCAUGUUUACAACUCCAUUAUUGGUGACAACAGGUCUCAAUUGUCAGCGGUUAUGCACGUAGCCUUGUUCAUGGAAGGCUUUCCGUUGAAUUUGCUCUCUGAGAGGAUGAGAAAUAUUGCUACUCAGAGAAUCUUUGCUGAUUACUUUGGCUUCUUAGAGAGUUUUGAUGAUAAAUCGAUGAGAGCUUGCAGUUCUAGUGUUUAUGGAGUUCCAGUCUUUGCUCUGUCUGCCUCAUUGCAGUCUCUGCAGCUCAACAUGUCUGAUAGUGAUGCGAAGACCCUGAAGUUUAUAGUUGCUAUCACUCAUAACUACAGAAACUCAGGGGACCAACUAACAAAGGACCAUUACCGGAAGCUUUUGAGUGAAACGUUAGGAAUCAUCGCGAAUAACAAGCAUCUAUAUGCAGCAGCUGAGAUGGAAGAAGUCAUCUUAGAGCUUGAAAACCUAUUUAUCUCAGGGCCAGCAGCCUCUGAUACUCGAUUACAUGCAUGCAAACCGCAUCUGGCUCUUUUCAUGGCCGGACUUGGUCAUAUGGAAAUGACAGAAAGUGAUACAAGUGCCAAAUGUUCUGCCAUCUGGGAAUUGUAUCACAUGCUACUGAGAGAGCAGCAUUGGGCAUUAAUUCAUUUGGCAAUCACGGCGUUUGGAUAUUUUGCUGCCCGCACUUCUUGUAAUCAACUAUGGAGAUUCGUGCCCCAGACUGCUGCUCUAUCAUACGAUCUAGUGUCAGGAAAUGAGGCAAAUGAGGAGAGAUUUAUGUCUGAAUUGAAGGCAUUUCUUGAGAAAGAAAGGGCUCUUCUUACAAUUACAAAAAGCUCCGAGCAGCUUGGGCAGCUCGUAGGGGAAGGUCUGAUGCUGAAAAGAAUUGUUCAAAAUAUUCGUAGAAUUGAUACAACAGGGGUAGUGGGGUGUGAAAGCACGGAGACUGACGAGAAUAAUCAAUCCAAGAAGAGAAGGAAACUUCCUGAUGAAAUUAGUGAGGGCGUGGAAUUGCUGCAGAACGGUUUAAAAGUUAUUGGUGACUGUUUUUCCCGGUGGCAGCAAGAUCAUGAUGCCACAGAACUUCGUGACAAUUUCAUGGCUCACAUUUCUCGACUUGAAGAUGAAAUUGCCCAAUUAGUGGGUCUGGCCGGCAGCGGCUAGGUUCUCAUUUCAGCUCCCUUCAAGAAUGUCAUCGUCAAUGGCUUAAUAGCCAAGGUACGAAGUUCAAAUGUGUAGAUAUAGAUACAAACGAGUUUGAUGAAUCAGAGCUAUCGCAAAUUAAUUCACGGAAAACGAGAGCUUCCCGCCGUAACAACGCGUGACAAACUGAACCGUGACGACGCCAUUUUGUUCUUUUAGGGCUAAACCACAAGCGGCAAUUCUCGUUGCCACAGCA